GUGCUCGCUUCAGCAGCACACAAACUAAAAUUGGUACAAUUCAGAGAAAAUUAGCCUGACAAGCAAAUUUGUGAAGCAUUCCUUUUUCUU
rnacentral:snRNA from 1 species